rnacentral:other from 1 species
UGAUACCUGCUAUGCGCGUGAUGACGUGUCCGUUUUGGGCCAACACUCACAUAGACGGGGACUGUCGUCUGUCAUUGAGGUGAUAGGCCUGAGCCAAGACCGAACUGACAGGAGGGUUCCCACCUGCGAAAGCAGGUUCAAAACUCAGCGCCACACGGCAUGGCAGGUUUUGC